CGCGUAGGUGGUUUGGUUUAAGUUGGAUGUGAAAUACCCCGGGCCGUCAACCUGGGAACUGCAUUCAAAACUAGACUGACUAGAGUAUGGUAGAGGGUGGUGGAAUUUCCUGUGUAGCGGUGAAAUGCGUAGAUAUAGGAAGGAACACCAGUGGCGAAGGCGACCACCUGGACUGAUACUGACACUGAGGUGCGAAAGCGUGGGGAGCAAACAGGAUUAGAUACCCGAGU
rnacentral:rRNA from 1 species